rnacentral:rRNA from 1 species
CUGCUGCCUCCCGUAGGAGUCUGGUCCGUGUCUCAGUACCAGUGUGGGGGACCUUCCUCUCAGAACCCCUAGACAUCGUCGCCUUGGUGGGCCGUUACCCCCGCCAACUAGCUAAUGUCACGCAUGCCCAUCCGUCUCCGGAGUCGCCUCCUUUGGCCGAAAGAAGAUGCCUCCCCUCGGCCACAUGCGGUAUUAGGCCGGAUUUCUCCGGGUUAUCCCGCUGAAACGGGCAGGUUGCAUACGCGUUACUCACCCGUGCGCCGGUCCG